UCAUACGUAGGGUGCAAGCAUUAUCCGGAGUGACUGGGCGUAAAGAGUUGCGUAGGUGGUUAGUAAAGCGAAUAGUGAAACCUGGUGGCUCAACCAUACAGACUAUUAUUCGAACUCACUAACUCGAGAGUGGUAGAGGUAACUGGAAUUUCUAGUGUAGGAGUGAAAUCCGUAGAUAUUAGAAGGAACACCAAUGGCGUAGGCAGGUUACUGGACCAUUUCUGACACUGAGGCACGAAAGCGUGGGGAGCGAACCGGAUUAGAUACCCGGGUAGUCCACGCCGUAAACGAUGGAUACUAGCUGUUGGAGGUAUCGACCCCUUCAGUAGCGAAGCUAACGCGUUAAGUAUCCCGCCUGUGGAGUACGGUCGCAAGACUAAAACAUAAAGGAAUUGACGGGGAUCAGCACAAGCGGUGGAUCGUGUUCUUUAAUUCGAUGAUAAACGAAGAACCUUACCAGGGCUUGACAUCCAGGGAAGCACUGCGAAAGCAGAGUGUGCCUUUUGGAACCC
rnacentral:rRNA from 1 species